GUGCAGAGAUGUAGGAAGUGAACCUGAAGCCUGACACAUUCAAGGUCUGGGAACCGAACAUAAUAGGAAUUGUUCUUAUUUUUCCAGCAGAAUCGAGCACAAAGAUGGGCAUGCCUCUUUGCAGAACCUUAGAUUCAGAACUAUGACUUACCCUUUGCUUAUGAGGCGGAGGAGGAGGUAGAAGAAGAGAAAGAACUACCACAAAGAGAGAAGACAUCAAAGGUCAUUUUCUCCGUAAAAGGCCUGCUUUGUUAAGCACUACACGUUGACGUUGGUUUCAGGAGGAAGAGGACAGGGUUUUGUAAGCUGACUUUUUGCCAACACUAUGAUGUUUUAACCCAAAGACUUCCUGGAACCUAAGACCUCAUAGGGAAGAGUGUGGUAUCCAGAACUUACAGUGGAAAUCACUUCUGACCUCUUAGCCUGACCAUAGCUGAGGAACACAGCUUUGGCUGGGGCCCCACUCUUCAGGAAGCACCUGAAAAAACUGGACAGCAGAGAAAAAGUCCAAUCAAGAUAAUGCGCCUCAUCCUGUGAAGGACAGCUGGUUGGAGAAGUCUUAGGGAGGAACAUGAAAGCUGUUUUCAAUAUCUGAAGAUUUUCAGGUUCCAGGAACAUUACACACUGAGCUAACAUAGACUUCCACUUCUACUAACUCAUUAAAAAACUGGUAAUACAUAGCAAGUGUAAAUAUAACUAAGCUCAUUAAAAUAGUCAAAUUGGCCAGGCAUGGUGGCUCAUGCCUGUAAUCCCAGUACUCUGGGAGGCCAAGGUAGGUGAAUGACUCGAGGCCAGCAGUUCAAGACCAGCCUGGCCAACAUGGUGAAACCCCAUCUCUACUAAAAACACCAAAAAAUUAGCCAGGUGUGGUGGUGCACACCUGUAAUCCCAGCUACUUGGGAGGCUGAGGCAUAUGAAUUACUUGAACCCGGGAGGUGGAGGUUGCAGUGAGCCAAGACUGUGCCACUGCACUCUAGCCUGGCUGAAAAAGAGAGACUCUGUCUCUAAAUAAAGUAAAAUAUCUAGGUGCCAGAAAUUAGAAAGAGAACUCCUAUUCAGAGUGGAAAACUUCUGCUUAUGUCUUGAUUAUAUUUAUCCAAAUAUAGGUUCUAAUGUCUAGAGACUAGAGUUUUGAUGCCCACACAACUUCAGAUCCAUACCAAACACAACUGUGUUCUAGAAAUUUACACUGCUUACCCGAUACGUUGAUCGGGGUUCUCCAGAGAAAUAGAAGCAAUAGGACAAAGAGAUGAGGGCAGCACUGUGCCCAGCUAAAAAUACACACCUUCCCAGAUUCCCUUGAGGCUGAGGUAACAAUGUAUUGCAGUUCUGGCAAAUGAAAUAUAAACAGAAGCCUACUGGUUGACUUCCAAAAAUAAUGCUUUGCCCUUUACCCGUUACCAUUUUCUCUUCUUCCUACCUAAAAUCAAGACAAAAUGCCUGGAGGAACAACAGACAGCCUGCACCCGUGAAGAGAGGACAAAGUCACAUACUAAAGAUAAAAGGAUAAUUACGUUUAAAAACUCUGAGUGUUUGAUGAUAUCCUUAAAGAUGUGUACUAGCUCUUUUAAUCCACUGUUUUCUAUGAUGAGCAGCCAAGUGUAAACCUAAAUUGCACAAUGUGAUAUAGUAAAAAGUAAGUAUUUGAUCUUUGUCCCUGGUUCCUGGCUGAUUGUC